AAUGAUUUCCACUACUCGCUUCACCGGUCUACUACUACUAAACGCAACUCAUCUGCGCGGUAGACUGGCGGGCGACAAUCAACAUUAAGCCUCUUCAGUAAGAUAAGAACCCGCGCCAUUGCGCGGGUUUUUUU
rnacentral:sRNA from 1 species